rnacentral:rRNA from 1 species
UACGAAGGGGGCUAGCGUUGUUCGGAAUUACUGGGCGUAAAGCGCGCGCAGGCGGUCUUCCAAGUCAGUGGUGAAAGCCCGGAGCUCAACUCCGGAAUUGCCAUUGAAACUGUGAGACUGGAGUACGAGAGAGGUGAGUGGAAUUCCCAGUGUAGAGGUGAAAUUCGUAGAUAUUGGGAAGAACACCGGUGGCGAAGGCGGCUCACUGGCUCGUAACUGACGCUCAGGCGCGACAGCGUGGGGAGCGAACAGG